UCCCUGGUGGUCCAGUGGUUAAGACUCUGCCCUCCCAAUGCAGGGAGACCAAGUUCAAUCCCUGGUCAGGGAA
rnacentral:tRNA from 1 species